CCUCUGAUAGCUCAGCUGGAAGAGCGCAAGACUGUAAAUCUUGAGGUCCCUGGUUCGAUCCCGGGUCAGGGGA
rnacentral:tRNA from 2 species